rnacentral:rRNA from 1 species
CCUACGGGAGGCAGCAGUGAGGAAUAUUGGUCAAUGGGCGAGAGCCUGAACCAGCCAAGUCGCGUGAGGGAAGACGGUCCUACGGAUUGUAAACCUCUUUUGUCAGGGAGCAAGGAGCGCCACGAGUGGUGCGGCGAGAGUACCUGAAGAAAAAGCAUCGGCUAACUCCGUGCCAGCAGCCGCGGUAAUACGUAGGGGGCGAGCGUUAUCCGGAUUUACUGGGUGUAAAGGGAGCGUAGACGGCGUCGCAAGUCUGAAGUGAAAGCCCGUGGCUCAACUGCGGAACCGCUUUGGAAACUGCGAGGCUGGAGUGCUGGAGAGGUGAGCGGAAUUCCUGGUGUAGCGGUGAAAUGCGUAGAUAUCAGGAGGAACACCGGUGGCGAAGGCGGCUUACUGGACAGUGACUGACGUUGAGGCUCGAAAGCGUGGGGAGCGAACAGGAUUAGAUACCCCAGUAGUC